CGAUAACGAACGAGACCUUAACCUGCUAAAUAGUUAGGCCAACGUUUGUUAGUCGUCAACUUCUUAGAGGGACUAUUGACUAUUAGUCAAUGGAAAUUUGAGGCAAUAACAGGUCUGUGAUGCCCUUAGAUGUUCCGGGCCGCACGCGCGCUACACUGAUCAAGUCAACGAGUUUACAACCUUGGCCGGAAGGUCUGGGUAAUCUUUUGAAACUUGAUCGUGCUGGGGAUAGUCCAUUGCAAUUAUUGGACUUCAACGAGAAAUUCCUAGUAAGCGUGAGUCAUCAGCUCGCGUUGAUUACGUCCCUGCCUUUUGUACACACCGCCCGUCGCUACUACCGAUUGAAUGGCU
rnacentral:rRNA from 1 species